rnacentral:rRNA from 1 species
AGUGAACGCUGGCGGUAGGCCUAACACAUGCAAGUCGAACGGCAGCACAGGAGAGCUUGCUCUCUGGGUGGCGAGUGGCGGACGGGUGAGGAAUACAUCGGAAUCUACCUUUUCGUGGGGGAUAACGUAGGGAAACUUACGCUAAUACCGCAUACGACCUACGGGCGAAAGUGGGGGACCGCAAGGCCUCACGCGAUUAGAUGCACCGAUGUCCGAUUAGCUAGUUGGCGGGGUAAUGGCCCACCAAGGCGACGAUCGGUAGCUGGUCUGAGAGGAUGAUCAGCCACACUGGAACUGAGACACGGUCCAGACUCCUACGGGAGGCAGCAGUGGGGAAUAUUGGACAAUGGGCGCAAGCCUGAUCCAGCCAUACCGCGUGGGUGAAGAAGGCCUUCGGGUUGUAAAGCCCUUUUGUUGGGAAAGAAAUCCUGUCGAUUAAUACUCGGUGGGGAUGACGGUACCCAAAGAAUAAGCACCGGCUAACUUCGUGCCAGCAGCCGCAGUAACAC